AACGAACGCUGGCGGCAUGCCUAACACAUGCAAGUCGAACGAGACGUCCGGGUCUUGUGGCGCAUGGGUGUGUAAGGCGUGGGAACCUGCACUUAGGUUCGGAAUAACUCUCCGAAAGGGGUGCUAAUGACGGAUAGGGUCUUAGGACCAAAGAUUUAUUGCGUUUGGUUGGGCCCGCGUUGGAUUAGCUGGUUGGUAGGGUAAUAGCAUACCAAGGCGACGAUGCAUAGCUGGUCUGAGAGGAUGAUCAGCCACACUGGGACUAAGACACGGCCCAGACUCCUACGGAAGGCAGGAGUGGGGAAUAUUGGACAAUGGGGGAAGGCCUGAUCCAGCAAUGCCGCGUAAGUGAUGAUGGCAGUAGAGUAGUAAAGCUCUUGUACCCGGGAUGAUAAUGACGGUACCGGGUGAAAAAGCUCCGGCUAACUCCGUG
rnacentral:rRNA from 1 species